rnacentral:rRNA from 1 species
AUUGAACGCUGGCGGCAUGCUUUACACAUGCAAGUCGAACGGCAGCGCGGGCUUCGGCCUGGCGUCGAGUGGCGAACGGGUGAGUAAUACAUCGGAACGUGCCCAGUAGUGGGGGAUAGCUCGGCGAAAGCCGGAUUAAUACCGCAUACGACCUGAGGGUGAAAGCGGGGGAUCUUCGGACCUCGCGCUAUUGGAGCGGCCGAUGGCAGAUUAGCUAGUUGGUGGGGUAAAGGCCUACCAAGGCGACGAUCUGUAGCUGGUCUGAGAGGACGACCAGCCACACUGGGACUGAGACACGGCCCAGACUCCUACGGGAGGCAGCAGUGGGGAAUUUUGGACAAUGGGCGAAAGCCUGAUCCAGCAAUGCCGCGUGUGUGAUGAAGGCCUUCGGGUUGUAAAGCACUUUUGGCGGGAACGAAAAGGACUGUGCCAAUACCACGGUUCGAUGACGGUACCCGCAGAAUAAGCACCGGCUAACUACGUG